GGGUGAGUAACACGUGGAUAACCUACCUAUAAGACUGGGAUAACUUCGGGAAACCGGAGCUAAUACCGGAUAAUAUUUUGAACCGCAUGGUUCAAAAGUGAAAGACGGUCUUGCUGUCACUUAUAGAUGGAUCCGCGCUGCAUUAGCUAGUUGGUAAGGUAACGGCUUACCAAGGCAACGAUGCAUAGCCGACCUGAGAGGGUGAUCGGCCACACUGGAACUGAGACACAGUCCAG
rnacentral:rRNA from 1 species